CUUGAGAUCGCGUAUUGAGGAUAUUUGUUAAUAUUGGAUGAAUGCGAAAUAAAAUCUUCUCGCAGACUUCCACGGGGCCAAAACCCUAGCCGAUAGUUGAGUGUGGAUGAAGACAGGCAGUUCAAACUAUCAGACCAGGAGAAGCUAAGCUACGUUCAAGCUUUUGUUUACGAAAUACUUCAUUUCAGUCCUAUUGGAAUACAAGAUUCUCGACCACUGUGACGUCCCUGAGUACCCGUGCGAUGCCAUCUGUAUUGGCUGGAAUGAAAAUGCAGUUAUGAUGAUAUUAACAUGACAAUAAACAGUUAUAGAUCGAAACAUUUUAAAGACUACAAGGUUAUGAUACUCACAUAUGAUUUACGUAGCAGGUUUCUACAAUGGCCAACCGUAUCUCUAAACCGAUACCGCCUUGUACGUCUAAACAAUCGCAGAACAACUGUUCAGAAAACUAAUCGAACACGAGGCAACGAGGGACACGGAUGUGAUGUUUGUUGUAUGUAGCCAUGGGAUGAAGAUUAUUAUUACAGAUUACGCUAACGAUCGAAUGAUUUCUGUCGACAAUAAUGGAGGAGUGAUUUAAACGUUCCAUAUUAUGAGAGGCCCAUUGGG